rnacentral:rRNA from 1 species
UACGUAGGUGGCAAGCGUUGUCCGGAUUUAUUGGGUUUAAAGGGUGCGUAGGCGGCCUUAUAAGUCAGUGCUGAAAUAUCCCGGCUUAACCGGGAGGGUGGCAUUGAUACUGUAGGGCUUGAAUAAAGUUGAGGUUGGCGGAAUUGACGGUGUAGCGGUGAAAUGCUUAGAUAUCGUCAAGAACACCGAUAGUGAAGACAGCUAACUAAGCUUUAACUGACGCUGAGGCACGAAAGUGUGGGGAUCAAACAGG